UAUGGCCGUACCAUGCUGAAUAUACCGGUUCUCGUUAGAUCACCGAAGUUAAGCAUCAUUGGGCGCGGUCAGUACUUGGGUGGGUGACCACUUGGGAACACCGCGUGCCGUU
rnacentral:rRNA from 1 species